AAAAUUCUAUUCCCUUUAGAAGUCAAUCCAAGAAGAAAAAAGACGACCAAGGAAAGAUAGUCAGGGAAAAUUACUAGAUUUGGAAGAUUUUUAUUACAAGGAAUUUUUGCCCAGUCAUUCCAGACCAAAGGAACAUAACAUGUGUUUAAAAGAACGAAGACAACAGAGAGAACUUCAAAAUCAAUGUUUUAAGGCUGGUGAAAGGUGCUGGGCGGCGGCGAACCCAGAGGAAGAGGAGGACGAAGCGCCCGCAGCCAACCCCUACGACUACCGGAGGCUCCUGCGCAAAACCUCCCAGCGCCGGCGCCUGAUCCAGCAGCUGUAGCCCCUCUGCCCAGCGGCCACCGCCGUCCUAAUGUGCCAGAAACCGCGGGGCUUGCAGGGGCCUACGCGGGGGACCGCAGGAGCCCGCACCUCCAGGCGCUGAAGCCGCGCCUCUGACCUCGGCCGGGGCUGCGGCUGCGCCCGCCCCGCCAGUGCCCGGGCCAGCCUUCGGUGCUCCUGAUGGGGCUGCCAGUUGGACCAUCCCUCUCUCUGCGCCCCCCCUCCCCACCCCCGUGUAUCUCUUUGUUCACUUGUUUUUUUGGCUCCUGUGAGCCCGACUACGCCUGAGUUCUCGCAGACUCCUCCUGUCUCAUUUUGGAUGACUUUAAAGAAAUGUCUUCUUUCUUGGAGACAGCUCUCCCAGGCCGCGGGGACACCUGCGACUGUAUUGCGUCUGCAAGAACCUCCUCUCCCGGGUGGAGGAGAAGAAGGGAGGCAGGGGAGCUUUGAAGAUGAAAUUCACCUCAACCUCGUUCUUUCCCUUUCCUUGCUUUAUUAAGAUUAUUAAAUAAAGUGCUUUGGAAAGUC